UGCAACCACCAAAACCCACCCCCCGAUUCCCUACGGCCUGCUCCUUCGUUCUCCACAGCCGAGUAAAACAUACUGUCCUUCUCCAAAAGACCACCGACGCCAUAUGCUUACCUAUUUCAGCCGAAGGAAAUCUCCAGCGAUUUAGCCACACCACCACCACGCCAUUUUCUUCCCACGGAGGUUGAACCAGAGUCCAUACGGCUGAAAGCUUCAGGGCAUUCAGUUGUUUCCCCUUCUCUAUCUCCACCGAAGAUUGAAUGGGAAAGUUGGUGCUGCACGGCUUGUGAAGUGCUUGGAGUUCUGAGUUUCCGACCACUGCAGAUUGCCAUUGUGCAGCAAUAGCAAUUAAAACAUCACGCACAUCCUGCCGCGACUGUUGUUGCUAAAUAGGUAACUAUGAUUUUGUAUUUUUGGCCUACUUUCUGGCUUGAUUUGCUGUGAGUGGCAGAAAAGUACAAGAACUUAGAUCCAUGAAAUCCUAGAUGCAUAAACCAGUGGACUUGGUAUGGACUUUUUGGUUUUAAAGACUACCAUGUAUAAAGCGAAUAAUCCAAAAUUUCAAUACUAUUUUUGUCA